rnacentral:rRNA from 1 species
UAAUACCGCAUAACGUCGUAAGACCAAAGAGGGGGACCUUCGGGCCUCUUGCCAUCGGAUGUGCCCAGAUGGGAUUAGCUAGUAGGUGGGGUAACGGCUCACCUAGGCGACGAUCCCUAGCUGGUCUGAGAGGAUGACCAGCCACACUGGAACUGAGACACGGUCCAGACUCCUACGGGAGGCAGCAGUGGGGAAUAUUGCACAAUGGGCGCAAGCCUGAUGCAGCCAUGCCGCGUGUAUGAAGAAGGCCUUCGGGUUGUAAAGUACUUUCAGCGG